rnacentral:rRNA from 1 species
CCUACGGGUGGCUGCAGUGGGGAAUAUUGCACAAUGGGGGAAACCCUGAUGCAGCGACGCCGCGUGAGUGAAGAAGUAAUUCGUUAUGUAAAGCUCUAUCAGCAGGGAAGAAAAUGACGGUACCUGAGUCAGAAGCCCAGGCUAAAUACGUGACGGCAGCCGCGGUAAUACGUAGGGGGCAAGCGUUAUCCGGAUUUACUGGGGGUAAAGGGGGCGUAGACGGGAGGGCAAGUCUGGAGUGAAAGGCGGGGGGUUAACCCCCGGACUGCAGUGGAAACUGUACGGCUGGAGUGCAGGAGAGGUAAGUGGAAUGCGUAGUGUAGCGGUGAAAUGCGUAGAUAUUAGGAGGAACACCAGUGGCGAAGGCGGCUUACUGGACUGUAACUGACGUUGAGGCUCGAAAGCGUGGGGAGCAAACAGGAUUAGAUACCCUUGUAGUC